AGCAGCCGCGGUAAUUCCAGCUCCAAUAGCGUAUAUUAAAGUUGUUGCAGUUAAAAAGCUCGUAGUUGAAUUUCGGGAUCAAUAUGUUGGUCGUGCCUUGGUACGUACUAAUUUAUUGGUUUCUUCCUUCUGACGAACCAUGAUGUCAUUAAUUUGGUGUCUUGGGGAAUCAGGACUGUUACUUUGAAAAAAUUAGAGUGUUUAAAGCAGGCUCACGCUUGAAUACAUUAGCAUGGAAUAAUGAAAUAGGAUGUUUGAUUCUAUUUUGUUGGUUUCUAGGAUCGACGUAAUGAUUAAUAGGGAUAGUUGGGGGCAUUAGUAUUCAAUUGUCAGAGGUGAAAUUCUUGGAUUUAUUGAAGACUAACUACUGCGAAAGCAUUUGCCAAGGAUGUUUUCAUUAAUCAAGAACGAAAGUUAGGGGAUCGAAGACGAUCAGAUACCGUCGUAGUCUUAACCAUAAACUAUGCCGACUAGGGAUUGGACGAUGUUAAUUUUUAAUGACUCAUUCGGCGCCUUACGG
rnacentral:rRNA from 1 species